GGUUAAGCGACUAAGCGUACACGGUGGAUGCCCUGGCAGUCAGAGGCGAUGAAGGACGUGCUAAUCUGCGAAAAGCGUCGGUAAGGUGAUAUGAACCGUUAUAGCCGGCGAUGUCCGAAUGGGGAAACCCAGUGCAAUUCGUUGCACUAUCGUUAACUGAAUACAUAGGUUAACGAGGCGAACCGGGGGAACUGAAACAUCUAAGUACCCCGAGGAAAAGAAAUCAACC
rnacentral:rRNA from 2 species